UUUGUUCUUGCUGAGGAAAUACUCAUGUUUCCUGUUUCCAUGCCCUAGGUGUCUGCAGCACAACAGCCAACACUUCUGGAGCACAUGGCCCUGCAGUGAAGGAUUCUGGAGCUCACAUUUGUCUGAAGGGGAUCCGAGGAGGUUCUGUCUUGUUGAAUGUGAUUGAGAAGCUCAGAGUAGAUGUAGACGCCGAGCUGGAGGAGGUUGUAUGGACUUUGGGUAUUCUGUCAAAUCAUACACAGGUGCUGUGAGUCCACAGGGGGGCCGACUCUCCAACCUGGGUCGGCCUUGAGGAAAAGUUCAAGCAGAGGGUCCAUGUGCCUAGCGUGUUGUCUCUGAGGAUUGAGAACCUGGCCCCUGAUGACAGUGGGCAGUACAUGGCCAUGAUCCACUUAACUGGGGGACAAUUAUCUGGCCAGGUUUUCUACCUCACUGUCUAUGAGCCUGUGCCUCAUCCUGAGAUCCUGGCCAAGUCACUGUCUAUCAUACCAGGCUUGUGUAACAUCACCCUGGAGUGCAGGGCUCCAGGAGCCACAGAGGACCUGAAUGUGACUUGGGAGAGCAAGGACCUCCUCAGAGAGCUGGAGCACAGAGAAACACGAGGACCAGCCCCUAACCCCUGGAUCCUGGCUGUGAACCUGCCCCUGAGCCAGCGGAACAGCAAUCUCACCUGUGUGGUCAGCAACUAGGUAGAUCAGAAAGAUGUAACCUUACCUUGGGGAAGCCUGUGUCAAGGUUCAUGUAGACUGGACAUGGCUCUCCUUCGCAAGAUAUUCUUGGAGUCAUUGCAUUUGUGCUGUUGAUCCUGAGAGCUGGGCUAUACCUCUGGAAGAAACGUGGGAAGAAGAAGAAGAAAGAUGAGGAGGAAGAAGAGGAGGAGGAGCAGAAGGAGGAGGAGCGGGAGGAGGCAGGAAUAGGCAGGUUGCAUUUCUCCAUCGAGGCCCAGAUAUCUCCCCUCCCCCACUAGAAUCUGGGUUCUCUUUCUCCUGAAAGAAUGUCAUUGUUUAGCUAUAUGAAUAACCCUAGAUAUAGCAUUGAGUUAACAUGUCCAAGAUAUUUGUUACUGGAAAAAACUGAACAGCAAUGCAUGGUAUGAUUUAAUUUUUGUAAAAGUGUAUAGAUAGGUAGAUAGAAAGAUAAGCACAGAAUAAAAUCUAUACUACAUGACAGAUUACCAACAGUGGCUCACUCAGAGGUGAGGAAUUCCUCAAGGUUUGCUUCUUUUUAGUUUAUAUAUGUAAUGUAAUAUUUUAUGUUAUUUGAAUCUUUUCAAUGCUCAGUCACUGUGAAGUCAAAGGAAACAAUUAAGACAAUUUUGUAGCUUAAUUCCAUUUAGCUAAUUAAUCCC
rnacentral:lncRNA from 1 species